UACGUAGGGGGCUAGCGUUGUCCGGAAUCAUUGGGCGUAAAGAGCGCGUAGGCGGCCAGAUAAGUCCGGUGUGAAAGUCAAGGGCUCAACCCUUGGAUGCCGGUGGAUACUGCAGGGCUAGAGUUCGGAAGAGGCGAGUGGAAUUCCUGGUGUAGCGGUGAAAUGCGCAGAUAUCAGGAGGAACACCGAUGGCGAAGGCAGCUCGCUGGGACGAUACUGACGCUGAGGCGCGAAAGCGUGGGGAGCGAACAGG
rnacentral:rRNA from 1 species